rnacentral:rRNA from 1 species
UACGGAGGGUGCGAGCGUUAAUCGGAAUUACUGGGCGUAAAGCGCGCGUAGGCGGUUUUUUAAGUCGGAUGUGAAAGCCCCGGGCUCAACCUGGGAACUGCAUCCGAUACUGGAAGACUAGAAUGCGGGAGAGGGAGGUAGAAUUCCAUGUGUAGCAGUGAAAUGCGUAGAUAUAUGGAGGAAUACCAGUGGCGAAGGCGGCCUCCUGGCUCGACAUUGACGCUGAGGUGCGAAAGCGUGGGGAGCAAACGGC